UAAGACCUGAAAAACUUUAAUUUUCAUCUUCUGAAUGCAACUCAAACACCUUAAUUAGGCCAAGGCCCUC
rnacentral:tRNA from 1 species